UACGGGGGGGGCAAGCGUUGUUCGGAAUUACUGGGCGUAAAGGGCUCGUAGGCGGCCAACUAAGUCAGACGUGAAAUCCCUCGGCUUAACCGGGGAACUGCGUCCGAUACUGGCGGGCUUGAGUUUGGGAGAGGGAUGCGGAAUUCCAGGUGUAGUGGUGAAAUGCGUAGAUAUCGGGAGGAACACCAGUGGCGAAGGCGGCUUCCUGGCCUGUUCUUGACGCUGAGGCGCGAAAGCUAGGGGAGCAAACGGG
rnacentral:rRNA from 1 species